rnacentral:rRNA from 1 species
GGCCAGACUCCUACGGGAGGCAGCAGUGGGGGAUAUUGCACAAUGGGGGGAACCCUGAUGCAGCGACGCCGCGUGGGUGAAGAAGCGCCUCGGCGCGUAAAGCCCUGUCAGCAGGGAAGAAAAUGACGGUACCUGAAGAAGAAGCCCCGGCUAACUACGUGCCAGCAGCCGCGGUAAUACGUAGGGGGCAAGCGUUAUCCGGAUUUACUAGGUGUAAAGGGAGCGUAGACGGCAGGGCAAGUCUGGAGUGAAAGGCAGGGGCCCAACCCCUGGACUGCUCUGGAAACUGUCCGGUUGGAGUGCAGGAGAGGUAAGUGGAAUUCCUAGUGUAGCGGUGAAAUGCGUAGAUAUUAGGAGGAACACCAGUGGCGAAGGCGGCUUACUGGACUGUAACUGACGUUGAGGCUCGAAAGCGUGGGGAGCAAACAGGAUUAGAUACCCGUGUA